CAGUAGCCGCGGUAAUACGUAGGUGGCAAGCGUUGUCCGGAAUUAUUGGGCGUAAAGCGCGCGCAGGUGGUUUAAUAAGUCUGAUGUGAAAGCCCACGGCUCAACCGUGGAGGGUCAUUGGAAACUGUUAAACUUGAGUGCAGGAGAGAAAAGUGGAAUUCCUAGAGUAGCGGUGAAAUGCGUAGAGAUUAGGAGGAACACCAGUGGCGAAGGCGGCUUUUUGGCCUGUAACUGACACUGAGGCGCGAAAGCGUGGGGAGCAAACAGGAUUAGAUACCCCGUAGUCCCUGUCUCUUAUACA
rnacentral:rRNA from 1 species